rnacentral:rRNA from 1 species
AAAAGCUCGUAGUUGGAUUUCUGCUUAGGUCGGCCGGUCCACAUUUCGUGUGUGAUCUGGUUCGAUCUGGGCAUCCUCUUGGGGAACGCUUUUGUCCUUAAGUGCGACUGAGUGGGAUUCAAGACUUUUACUUUGAGGAAAUUAGAGUGUUCACGGCAAGCAAGCGCGAUUGAAUACAUUAGCAUGGAAUAAUAAUAUAGGAUCUCAGUUCUAUUUUGUUGGUUUCUAGAACUAAGGUAAUGAUUAAUAGGGACAAUUGGGGGCAUUCGUAUUAACGCGUCAGAGGUGGAAUUCUUAGAUUGCGUUACGACGAACUACUGCGAAAGCAUUUGCCAAGGAUGUUUUCAUUGAUCAAGAACGAAAGUUAGGGGAUCGAAGACGAUCAGAUACCGUCCUAGUCUUAACCAUAAACUAUGCCGACUAGAGAUUGGUGGCGCUGCUUUUCCGACGCUAUCAACAUCUUGAGAGAAAUCAAAGUCUUUGGGUUCCGGGGGGAGUAUGGUCGCAAGGCUGAAACUUAAAGGAAUUGACGGAAGGGCACCACCAGGAGUGGAGCCUGCGGCUUAAUUUGACUCAACACGGGAAAACUCACCAGGUCCAGACAUAGCAAGGAUUGACAGAUUGAUAGCUCU